GCCAGCGUGGCAUAGUGGUUUGAAAGCUGGACUAUGACUCUGGAGACCAGGGUUUGAUUCCCAGCUCAGCCA